rnacentral:misc_RNA from 1 species
GUUUGCUUGGGCUCCAGACUCAGCAUCCCCCUUCCUAUUGAAUUGAGCGAUGCUAAAUUGACCCGCAACAGCAAUUGCGAGUCAUAAUGGCCAAUCAGAACUGAGAACUAAAGUCCCAGUCAAACACUAGAGCAGAGGACCAAUCAAACGCACUGGCUGAGUUCGUACUAAACGGACGAACCGCAUCUUAAUAGCAGUAGUAGUACAAGGAGCUAACUCUGUAUUUAUAAUUUCUUAACGACUUCCGUGCAAAUCCAGCCGCAGCCACUAUCAUCUGACCGUUCCUUAAUCUGACCUUUGACCUCACUCUAAUUUAUUUAACGAUUUUCCUCCGCGAGAUUAGAAUCGCGUGCCGACCAUAUCAAAACUCUUGCUAUUUUUCUCUUAUUUUCGUCGCCUUUUGACCCAAAAAUUUAAUUCUCAUUCGUUUUUCACUUUGCAAUUCUUCUUUUUUUUCCUUUAUUGGAUUCCCAUAGUAUCCCUUUAUAAAGGACGCCUUCCUAGCAACAAUAAGUCUAUUCCUUCCCGCAGCUACGCCGCAAACACCACCACAAGCACCCGCCGUCGCCGCCAGAAUCACUGCCAUCUCCUUUAUUCUUGGGGAACAAACUAUACCUUUGGAUGAGUAUGUCUUGCACGAGUUCGAAUGAAACUCUUGUAUAUUAACAGAAAUCAAGAUGUCAAACGUACCCACAUCUCUUUCUGAAGUAUGCCUUACUCUCUUCCGUUUAACCAUGUCCAUCGCCGACCCAUGGCCUUUUUCUUGAACCUUACUAUACUCUAAAAGAACCCUUCGAGAUCUUGCUUGCCCAGAUUUAGGAAUAAUAUCCAUUCACAUACGAAAAACCCUGUUUCUUAUUAUAAUCGCUCUCUACUUCCCCAGGCAAGUCAUGAGAAAGAUAAGAGGUUUCAAGAUUGGAAAACGGUUGGUCAGGAUCUCCCGAUGGAUCUUCCGGCGGACCCGUAGCCCAUCCAGUUACAAUCGGCUAUGUUCGCAGGGACAAACGUGCAGGCCCAAGCCUCUCGCGAAGCUUAUAAAGUGGGGUCGCCGCUUGACAACAGGAGCAAAAUCUCUGUGUUCUGCAAAACCCGGGUCGGGUUACACUCCUUUGGUCGAGGAGCCUAUCCAUGAAAAGUCGGUGACGGUGCCAAAGGGACAUUUGGCGAUUUAUGUGGGUCAAAAGGAUGGUGAUUUCCACAGAGUUUUGGUGCCCGUGAUUUACAUAAACCAUCCUCUGUUUGGCGAGCUUUUGAGAGAAGCAGAAGAG